rnacentral:rRNA from 1 species
UACGUAGGUGGCAAGCGUUGUCCGGAAUUACUGGGUGUAAAGGGCGUGUAGGCGGGAAUGCAAGUCAGAUGUGAAAUUCCGAGGCUUAACCUCGGCGCUGCAUCUGAAACUGUGUUUCUUGAGUGCUGGAGAGGAAAGCGGAAUUCCUAGUGUAGCGGUGAAAUGCGUAGAUAUUAGGAGGAACACCAGUGGCGAAGGCGGCUUUCUGGACGGUAACUGACGCUGAGGCGCGAAAGCGUGGGGAG